GACGUAGGGUGCGAGCGUUGUCCGGAUUUAUUGGGCGUAAAGAGCUCGUAGGCGGCUCGUCGCGUCGACCGUGAAAACCCGCGGCUUAACUGCGGGCUUGCGGUUGAUACGGGCGGGCUAGAGUUCGGUAGGGGAGACUGGAAUUCCUGGUGUAGCGGUGAAAUGCGCAGAUAUCAGGAGGAACACCGGUGGCGAAGGCGGGUCUCUGGGCCGAUAUCGACGCUGAGGAGCGAAAGCGUGGGGAGCGAACAGG
rnacentral:rRNA from 1 species